rnacentral:rRNA from 1 species
GAUGAACGCUAGCGGCAGGCUUAAUACAUGCAAGUCGUGGGAGAAUGAGGCUUCGGCCUCAGGGAACCGGCGCACGGGUGCGUAACGCGUACACAACAUGCCUUAUACUGGAGUAUAGCCUCGGGAAACUGGGAGUAAUCCUCCAUAACAUUAUCGGGUGGCAUCAUCUGGUAAUUAAAGCUCAGGCGGUAUAAGAUUGGUGUGCGUAUGAUUAGCUAGUUGGUAGGGUAAUGGCCUACCAAGGCGACCAUCAUUAGCUGGCGUGAGAGCGCGACCAGCCACACUGGAACUGAGACACGGUCCAGACUCCUACGGGAGGCAGCAGUAGGGAAUAUUGGACAAUGGGCGAAAGCCUGAUCCAGCCAUGCCGCGUGAUGGAUGAAGGCCCUCUGGGUUGUAAACAUCUUUUAUCAGGGAAGAAACACCUCGUUUCUACGAGGCUUGACGGUACCUGAUGAAUAAGCACCGGCUAACUCCGUGCCAGCAGCCGCAGUAA